rnacentral:rRNA from 1 species
UACGGAGGGGGCAAGCGUUGUUCGGAAUUACUGGGCGUAAAGGGCGCGCAGGCGGCUGCUCAAGUCAGGCGUGAAAGGCCUGGGCUCAACCCGGGAAUUGCGCUUGAGACUGGGCUGGCUUGAGUGCGGGAGAGGUGAGUGGAAUUCCAGGUGUAGCGGUGAAAUGCGUAGAUAUCUGGAGGAACACCGGUGGCGAAGGCGGCGUUCUGGACUGCAACUGACACUGAGGAACGAAAGCCAGGGGAGCAAACGGG